CAACGCUAGACUUCUCUCUCUACACAUGGCAACGAGACGGGCCGUCAUCUUUCUUCCUCAACAGAUAGCAAGAGAGUAAGCGACAAAUAAACGGAGGAACAAAGAUAGAGUUUGACAGGUAGACAGAGAAAGAGUAGGAGAGAGAGAGAUGGAAGUGCUAUAGGUUGGCGCUAAUUCAUGAUGUGCAGUUUAUACCAUCUGAACAUGAUAGUCCUUCUCAGCUAACCAGUGAUGCGUGAGGCAUCAGCAACCAGGGAGGUUUGAAGGAAGAAAUGCACGCUGUGUCUAAGUACUCUGAAGGGAGAUGACACUGCGUUGUAAUUCAGAGGGAUGCCAUACAAGCUGACCUUACAGAACGCUACAACAGAAACGGAGCCACAGCUCAAGGUGAAGAGUUCUGACUUUUGUGGUCCUGGACGCUAUGGAAGACUAGUGAUUUUGUUGUUGUAAAUACAGCACCCAGACAACAAGUCAUAGUCUACCUCAGUGUCCAGAACUCAUGCAUCAACGACUCCUCAAGCUUUUAGUAGAGACAUAUUCGAAGAACGGUUAGGAAGAGGGGACUCUUAUUUUGAAAUUGUGGGAUGCACUGUAAACUAUUGUCAUUUCCUAUGGCUUAUGUGUACUUUGACAUUUCAUCACAAAUUCACAUAAUGUAUGUCUAUUACCAUUAAAGACCACUCACCAUCUUGA